rnacentral:ribozyme from 12 species
UUUUCAAUUAUUCUUCUUGUGCCUUUUUUACUUUCUUCGUUGAAUUCGUCGAGUGCAUUCCUGAUGGUAACCGGAUCUAGUUCUGCUGUGUUGCAUUUGAACUUACGAAACAAAAUUUGCAUGCAUUUGA